ensembl:lncRNA
CUGACCCGGUCCAUCCAUUUAUUCUGCCAUCCAUCCUUCUAACCAUUGGUGCAACUGUCCAUCCAUUCAUCUAUCCAUCCUUCCAACAGUCUGUUGGAACCAACCAUCCAUCCAUUAUUCCAUCCAUCCAUCCAUUAAAAGAUCCAUUUUUCAUCCAUCCAUCCAUCCUUCCAAAUGUAUAUCCAAAUGUCCAUCCAUCCAUCCAUCAUCCACCCAUCCAAAGAUCCAUUCAUUCAUUCAUCCAUCCUUCCAUCUGUCUAUUCAAGCUUCUAUCCAUCCACCCAUCCAUCCAAAGAUCCAUUCAUACAUCCAUACCUCCUUCCAACUAUCCAUUCAUACAUCCAUCCAUCCAAAGGUCCAUUUAUUUAUCCAUCCAUCUAUCCAUCCAUCCAUCCAUCCACCCAUCCAUCCAAAGAUCCAUUCAUACAUCCAUACAUCCUUCCAACUGUACAUCCAUGCAUCCAUCCAAAGGUCCAUUUAUUUAUCCAUCCAUCUAUCCAUCCAUCCAUCCAUCCAUCCAAAGGUCCAUUUAUUUAUCCAUCCAACCUUCCAACUGUCUACCCAACCAUCCAUCCAUCCAAAGAUCCAUUCAUUAAUCCAUCCAUCUAUCCAACCAUCCAUCCAUCAUCCCAUCAUCCAUCAGUGCAUCUAUUCCUUUGCCUUAGUGAGCAACUCAGUAGGUAACAAAUCUUCAAACUACCAGUCUACUGUCAUGCAGACUCCAUAUCUAAACCCUCACACACUCUCCAAUAUGCACUACAUGGCCAAAAGUAU